CGGCAGUUACUUUGAGAUAGUACUUUGUUAUUAAUCUUCAGAAUUUUUUUCAGCAAUUUCGAAUAUGGGUAUAUCAUUGUAAGUAUACUGUAGUCUGGUUAUUGCUUUUGGGAUGUGUGUGUAAGUUACUAUAGUUGCCAUAAAAUAAAUGUCUAUUGCAAUUUCGGUACUGUGGUAAAGCAUGCAGCCUUAUAAUUUUGUACUGCUCAAAAAGACUACGCGAUAUACAUAUAGUAUAAACCCUUCAACAUUGCCGAGGUCCAUGCCGAAAGCGGCAUAUAAAAGGCCAAAUUUUUUUAAAUUUUUGACAGUCAAUAAAAAUAAUCAGAACUAGAGGAAAGAGAUUCAGAAAGGCAAAGCUUCUGAAACACUGAAUUAUUUGCAAUUGUCCAAAAUAUAGUCAAUUGUGA